UGUGAAGAAGGCCUUCGGGUUGUAAAGCACUUUUGUCCGGAAAGAAAACCAUCGCCCUAAUAUGGUGGUGGGAUGACGGUACCGGAAGAAUAAGCACCGGCUAACUACGUGCCAGCAGCCGCGGUAAUACGUAGGGUGCGAGCGUUAAUCGGAAUUACUGGGCGUAAAGCGUGCGCAGGCGGUCUGUUAAGACCGAUGUGAAAUCCCCGGGCUUAACCUGGGAACUGCAUUGGUGACUGGCAGGCUUUGAGUGUGGCAGAGGGGGGUAGAAUUCCACGUGUAGCAGUGAAAUGCGUAGAGAUGUGGAGGAAUACCGAUGGCGAAGGCAGCCCCCUGGGCCAACACUGACGCUCAUGCACGAAAGCGUGGGGAGCAAACAGGAUUAGAUACCCUGGUAGUCCACGCCCUAAACGAUGUCAACUAGUUGUUGGGGAUUCAUUUCCUUAGUAACGUAGCUAACGCGUGAAGUUGACCGCCUGGGGAGUACGGUCGCAAGAUUAAAACUCAAAGGAAUUGACGGGGACCCGCACAAGCGGUGGAUGAUGUGGAUUAAUUCGAUGCAACGCGAAAAACCUUACCUACCCUUGACAUGGUCGGAAUCC
rnacentral:rRNA from 59 species